AUCAAUAGUUUUUUAAUUAAAAGCUGGAAUGAAAGAUUAAAUGAAAUACAAACUUUUUAGAUUUUAUAUAUAAAAUUUUUUUUAUUAAUUAAAAAAUUAAUUUGAAUUAAAAAGACGAGAAGACCCUAUAGAUUUUAAUUAAUUUAUAAAAAAAAAUUUAAUAAUUUUUUUUUAUUUAUUUUAUAAAUUAAUUUAGUUGGGGUAAUAAAUAAAUUUAUAAAAUUUUAUUAUAUAAAACCAAAAAUUAUUGAUUAAUUGAUCUUGAAUUUUAGAUUUAGAGAAUAAAAUACCUUAGGGAUAACAGCAUAAUUUUAUUAGAAAGUUCUUAUUGAUAAUAAAUUUUGUGACCUCGAUGUUGAAUUAAGAUAAAAUUUAAAUGGAAAAAUUUAAAAUUUUGGU
rnacentral:rRNA from 1 species